GCUUACAGGGUGCUUACUGUUUGCCAGGCACCAUGCUAAGUGCAACACAUGAUUUGCCCCACUGAAUACAGACAUUAACUCCGUGGGGGGAAAGUGCUAUUCAGACAGGCGGCCCAGGAAAGUGGCCAAGGUCACACAGCUAACCAGAGGCUCCCGUGACUUUAAAGGACUCUGUUCGUCCAGAUUGGUAGCUCCUAUUUUGACUGCUUAUAGUCCGUGACGCAAUACAGAUAUUAAUCUUAUUUUUUUAUGAUCAGAGUGGAGGAAAACAAAUUCAUUAAAAAACCAUCUAGAAAUGUGAAACUUCCUCAUAGUCACCCAAGAUAAUGACUGGUAAACAGAUUCUGAAAUUGCUGUAUAUCCAGUGCACAGUUUAUGCUCCAGAAACGUUUUGGUUAUAACUAUGGAAAGAGCCCAGAUGUCCAUCUACAGACGAGUGGAUAAAGAAGAUGUGUUGUAUAUAUACAACGGACUACUACUAAGCCAUCAAAAAAAUGAAAUUUUGCCAUUUGCAAUGACAUGGAUGAAACAAGUGGAUAUUAUGCUAAGUGAAAUAAGUCAAUCAGAGAAAGACAAUUAUC